AGAAUCAACGCUGGCGGCGUGCCUAACACAUGCAAGUCGCACGAGAAAGGGACUUCGGUCCUGAGUAAAGUGGCGCACGGGUGAGUAACACGUGAAUCAUCUACCUCCGAAUGGGGAAUAACUGAGAGAAAUCUUAGCUAAUACCGCAUAAUACCUACGGGUCAAAGCAGCAAUGCGUUUGGAGAGGAGUUCGCGGUCGAUUAGUUAGUUGGCGGGGUAAUGGCCCACCAAGACGAUGAUCGAUAUCCGGCCUGAGAGGGCGCACGGACACACUGGAACUGAAACACGGUCCAGACUCCUACGGGAGGCAGCAGUGGGGAAUUUUGCGCAAUGGGGGAAACCCUGACGCAGCAACGCCGCGUGGAGGAUGAAAUAUCUUGGUAUGUAAACUCCUUUCGAUGGGAAGAUAAUGACGGUACCCAUAGAAGAAGCCCCGGCUAACUUCGUGCCAGCAGCCGC
rnacentral:rRNA from 1 species